GAUGAACGCUGGCGGCGUGCCUAAUACAUGCAAGUCGAGCGAACAGACGAGGAGCUUGCUCCUCUGACGUUAGCGGCGGACGGGUGAGUAACACGUGGAUAACCUACCUAUAAGACUGGGAUAACUUCGGGAAACCGGAUCUAAUACCGGAUAAUAUAUUGAACCGCAUGGUUCAAUAGUGAAAGACGGUUUUGCUGUCACUUAUAGAUGGAUCCGCGCCGCAUUAGCUAGUUGGUAAGGUAACGGCUUACCAAGGCGACGAUGCGUAGCCGACCUGAGAGGGUGAUCGGCCACACUGGAACUGAGACACGGUCCAGACUCCUACGGGAGGCAGCAGUAGGGAAUCUUCCGCAAUGGGCGAAAGCCUGACGGAGCAACGCCGCGUGGGUGAUGAAGGUCUUCGGAUCGUAAAACUCUGUUAUUAGGGAAGAACAAAAGUAUAAGUAACUAUGCACGUCUUGACGGUACCUAAUCAGAAAGCCACGGCUAACUACGUG
rnacentral:rRNA from 1 species